GUCAGUAGGAGUACUGUCAUCCUUUCGAGGAAGGGCACCCGGUGAACUGAAACAUCUAAGUAGCCGGAGGAAAAGGAAUCAACAGAGAUACCCCUAGUAGCGGCGAGCGAACGGGGCAGAGCCCAAACCGGGACGGGAAACCGAUCCGGGGUUGCGGACUGCCAGCAAGCACACAGACGAAGCAGAACCAGUUGGGAAACUGGGCCAGAGACGGUGAAAGCCCGGUAGGCGUAAGGACGUGAGUGGGGCAGUAUCCAG
rnacentral:rRNA from 1 species